ACCACUUCUCAGUCUUUUUGACUGAGAUCAGGUGUAGUAUCUGCUCUUAGCAGUUUAAUAUCUAGUAUGUCCUCCACAGUAAAUUAAAUGGAGUUUUGGACCUGGGAGAAGGAACAGGAGCAUGCUCUUUGACUUGGCAUUGCAGUAAGAGAACAAAACCCCAC
rnacentral:snRNA from 1 species